UCAAGGUUGUGGGGAAACACACACCCCUACACAUUGACGCACGGACGCGCACCCGAAGCCCCGCCCCCAAAUCUACGGGGACUCGGUCCCUAGGCCGAGGAUCUUCUUAAGGCACCAUCCCAGCCAUGCACGACCCUGGGUUUUGCAAGAAAGACCCCCGAGCAGCAGCGCAGGCUUCUGGAGAAUGCAAGCUCCCACCUGGCCUAGGCGUCCGGCUCCGCUGCGGAACGUGAAGUUCCCCUGCCCCCGCGGGAGGUGGGAGGGCGCUGCGGAAAGGCAGUCCUCCGCAUUUCGUCUCAGGCCACCGGAUCAGGGCUGAAGCCAGCCCAAGCGGACCCCUCCCUAUCCCCACCCGCCUGCCGGCAGGCCCCAGGUCAGCGUCUUACAACUCUUCAUUAUGAAGUGGGUGUAGUGCCCUUGUCUCCAGAGACGCGAAGAGUCCUCGAGGCCCCUCGAGCUAAAAGUGCAGCCUGGCCCAGUUUCUCCUGGCCUACUCUACUCCACUCCUGGUACACGACCCACCUCCAAGGGGCGGAGGGCCCCUGGGGCAGCGCUGACUCACGCGUGCGUGGUUUCCACCAGUCUUUCAACUUGAGAGACCCCCACAGUCGGCCCUUAGCCGGGAGUUCCUGUGUGCGGCUCCCGACGCAGACCUUCGAACCCCUUCCAGACUUCCGAGCUCCAGACGUCCCGCAACUCCGCCUUGAUCCCUACCCGAUACCUAGGUGGGCUUUUACUUAGCAUUGAAAGACGCUUCCGUUGAGAAAAGGAUUUCGAAGCUUGUCUGAAUCCCUCCUGUUCACAAGGUCUUUGCCGGUCUAAAGUCUCUCAAUAAAACCAAUCUGUGCCCCGAGUUGUGUAGUGUGAGGAUGGGGUGGCAGUGGGGGGUCGGGGGCUCAGGCAAACGCCUUGGAAACUGGAACAACCAGCUUGGGGCUGUGACCUAAAUGUCUGGAGCUCUGUAGGCUCCACUUGGACGCGAGGGCGAGGACACAGCCCGGGAGGGCGACUGCCUCGGGUGGGGGUUGGGCAGUACUAAUCUGAAGGUGGAGGUAGGGGAGGGUCCCCGACUGCGUUUUUGCAAAAAGCCCAACUCCUGUAAGUCUCGGUAGACGGCCUGUCUUCACCUCCCCUCCCCAUAUACGUGCCCCCAAGACACAAUGAACAAAUAAAAGACUGCAAUUA